rnacentral:rRNA from 1 species
GACGAACGCUGGCGGCGUGCCUAAUACAUGCAAGUCGAACGCAUAUUCGCACGGGUGAGUAACACGUGGGUACCUGCCCCAUCGCGGGGGAUAACUAUUGGGAACGAUAGCUACUACCGCAUAAUGUGAGCUGGACCUGCGUGGUGUUAGCUAGUUGGUGGGGCUAAGGCCCACCAAGGCGACGAUACAUAGCCGGCCUGAGAGGGUGAACGGCCACACUGGGACUGAGACACGGCCCAGACUCCUACGGGAGGCAGCAGUAGGGAAUCUUCGGCAAUGGACGGAAGUCUGACCGAGCAACGCCGCGUGAGUGAAGAAGGGUUUCGGGUCGUAAAGCUCUGUUGUUCGAGACGCGGUACCUGACCAGAAAGGGACGGCUAACUACGUGCCAGCAGCCGCGGUAAUAC